rnacentral:snRNA from 1 species
AGAUACAACGGUGAUCGCACUGUGACACCUGUCCCCAUUGAGCAGCAGGGCUGAUUCUGCUGACCCAGCUGGCAGGGCAGUGCCCCCUUCCUCCUUCAGCACUCCAUGCACGUCCCUCCCGAGCUAUAGGCUCAGACCAAGAGGACCUUUCUGGAGGCAGAAGGACCGAUCUUCAGUCAAGGGUGCAUGAGUAGCUGCACCCUCUGCUAGGACCUCCCAACAAGCUCUCAGGUCCAUCUGUAGGAGAACAUAGGGCAGUCAAGCUUCCAAGACUCCAGAUACAGGCGAAUGUGGCAUCUGCCUUCCACU